rnacentral:rRNA from 1 species
UGGGGAAUAUUGCACAAUGGGGGAAACCCUGAUGCAGCGACGCCGCGUGAGUGAAGAAGUAUUUCGGUAUGUAAAGCUCUAUCAGCAGGGAAGAAAAUGACGGUACCUGAGUAAGAAGCCCCGGCUAACUACGUGCCAGCAGCCGCGGUAAUACGUAGGGGGCGAGCGUUAUCCGGAUUUACUGGGUGUAAAGGGAGCGUAGACGGCAAUGCAAGUCUGAAGUGAAACCCCAAGGCUCAACCAUGGGCAUGCUUUGGAAACUGUGUAGCUAGAGUGCAGGAGAGGCAGGCGGAAUUCCUAGUGUAGCGGUGAAAUGCGUAGAUAUUAGGAGGAACACCAGUGGCGAAGGCGGCCUGCUGGACUGAAACUGACGUUGAGGCUCGAAGGCGUGGGGAGCAAACAGG